CUCUCACCGUUUCAAAAUCAUUUGAACUAGCUGACCUCCCAUCUCCCGUACCCCCACGGUACAGCUUCCCCACAACAUCGACGCCUCGCCGAUUCUGCUCGUCAGAGCAGCGACGGCGGCGACUCCAUCCUUUCCACGCCUACGCCGGCGAGGCCCAGAUCUGUGGCCAGCGAGGCCGGAUCCGGCGGCGGCGGGCUGAGAUCCGGCGGUUGCUGUGGCCGGGUCGGCGGCGCUUGCCUCCGGGCCCAGAUCCAAUGCCGGCGAGGACGGAUCCUGUGGCGGCGGGACUGGAUCCGGUGGUUUUCGUGGCCGGCGGAGUGGAGGCGCAGCGAGAUCCGCGCUCAAGCUGCGGCGGCGCGAGUGGCCCAGCUCCCUGGCGUGGCGUUCGGCGUGCGGCGCGGGUGCCCCGGCAUCACAGAGAGCGGGGCGCGCGGUGCCCCCGAGGCGUCUUGCUCCUCGGCGGCUGCUCGACGCCUGCACCAGCUUCGGAGGCGGUGGCCGCUGCGCGCCGUCGCGGUGUUGUCGGGGUGCGAGGCCUGGAGCGGCGAUACGGCGCCGAGGUCGUCAAGUGCGGCUCCAACCUUUGCCAGCUCGGCGAGCAGGCGCCGGUGCACGCCAGGCAGCCCGCCGGGGUCGCGCAGCAGGACGGACGGCGAGGAGCUGUCCGGCGCGCGCUCUUGCGCCGCUCGCAGUCGGCACGCUGGGUGCAGUGAUGGCGUUCGCCCGCGCACAUGACGGCCCGGCCCCCCUCAUGACCGGCACAUCUAGCCACGGUGUGCUAUGAGGGAUGAGGCAGUACUAUCUAUCUGAAUAGCAACCAACAGCCGGCAGAUGUGACGCCUUGCCUGAGGCCACACUAUCACUUUCUUCCCCUUCAAGCUGAGCCUACGCAACGCCCUGGUGCUAGCUACGCUCACCAUCGAAGCCAGCCACAAUCUUCAGCCUCAAGUUCGUCAAUUGUAGCAAUAUUUUGGUUCUUUAGGUUUCACAUAAUGUAGUUGAGUUUUGGUCUAAAAUUCCCAUUUUUAGUUCUCAGAAUGUUUGUGCAUAUUGGUACAUGCACAUUGUUUAUUUUGCUUAAUCAUUCAAGAGAAAAAAAAAACUGAAACAAGCUUAAUUUGACAAUAAUUGCAUUAUUAUUGUCUUCUUGUACAAUAUCAUUUGUGCAUUCAUGUAGUAGUACAUGCUACUAUUUAUGUUUAAAUAAAGUGGUACACAUAUACUGAGUUUCUUCUAUAUUUAUCUUUACUCUUGAGUUUUGAACCACCGCGGUGCCUCGGGUGCAUCGCGGCCGACAACAUGUAUGCUGUGGGCGACGGCUUCGGCCGCGGCCACGGCCCUCGCGCCGCCCACCGCCUCAUUGCCCCCGCCCAGCGCACCACAUCAAGAUUGCGUCGCACUGGAGUUUGGCGGUGCGCGUGCACGGUGCUGCUCCCAUGGAUGGCGGCAUUGCAGGACGCACUGGCUGCCUUGGCCGUGCGCCGCGUGCUCGCGGCGUGCGGAGGAGAGUUGCGGUGGCGGGGGAAGGCUGCGGUGGACGAAGACGGGGGAGCCGCUGCCGCAGCAGCUCUCAAGAUGGCGGAGGAGGAAAUCAGCAGCUAGCAACUCAACUCCACUAGAUCUGACCCCGUCGACUUCACCAGAUCGCAAACAUUUUCAUGCUUUUGUUUCCACAUCAACAUGACUGCACAUGCAAGCAAAUAUCUGUUGGUGGCUUACCCUUCAGAUUUCCUCUUUUGAUUUUCUAACAUUUAUGCUUGCCUGUCCUACUGUUUUGGUUGGUUAAUUGGCUGCAUAAGUGUAGCUGCUAAUUCAGUUCUUUGCUUCAUAUUCAACAUCUCUUCCUGUGUAUAUUGUGUAAAUGCACUCCUCUAACUAUUGAACAACUCUUUCAUUAACACAUUGCUUCAUGUAUAUGUCUACAACAAUAAGAAAAUGAUAUAAUUUUCUAAUUCAAGUUGAAUACAUGUCAAUCAACUGCAAAAAAAAAAGAAUUUAGCAGUCCAUUAUCUUUUUUUGAAAGACUAAACAUAUGAUUGUCACAUGGUUUUUCUUGCAUUCCUAACUGACAGGGUACUAUGAUUAAGGCAUGUCCUUGUUUAACUAGUUAAUCUGCUCACUUGAGAUGAAAUUUUAUUAUUUUGUUAGUAAUUUAAUGUUUAUAUCGCUGCUUAGGUGUGCUACAAGGGAUGAGACGGUACUACCAGGGUUACCUAUGUGGAUGUGGUGCCAGAAUGUACCGCUGGACUGGAGGCAUCAAAAGUAUUUAAAAUUUUUUCUCCAUCAUCCACCUAGUGUUAGAUGGUACAAGGUAAAAUGCUCAAAUGCUCAAGGUUCAACACCUAGAACUUCAGCUUAAGACGGUAUCUCCUGGUACCAAUUACCCGGUUCGCGCCACUUACAUGACUCGGUGGUGAAGGGGUACUGGGGUGUACUGGGUAGGAGGUUGUAUGGAGUAUUAGUAAGGCGGAAGAGGAAUGUAUGUAGUAAAUAAUUUAGAUAUUAAUUGAAGUAUUAUAAACUCGAUUCUUAAAGAGUUUGUCAAUACAAGGAUGUACAAACGAGAAUA